rnacentral:tRNA from 1 species
GUGUGGCUUACUGGUAGAGCAUGUGCCUAAUCUGUGCAAGGACCUGGGUUCAAUCCCCAGCAC